GCACCGGUGAUUAGUGGCGAACGGGUGAGUAACACGUGAGUAACCUGCCCUUAACUCUGGGAUAAGCCUGGGAAACUGGGUCUAAUACCGGAUAUGACUCCUCAUCGCAUGGUGGGGGGUGGAAAGCUUUUUUGUGGUUUUGGAUGGACUCGCGGCCUAUCAGCUUGUUGGUGAGGUAAUGGCUCACCAAGGCGACGACGGGUAGCCGGCCUGAGAGGGUGACCGGCCACACUGGGACUGAGACACGGCCCAGACUCCUACGGGAGGCAGCAGUGGGGAAUAUUGCACAAUGGGCGCAAGCCUGAUGCAGCGACGCCGCGUGAGGGAUGACGGCCUUCGGGUUGUAAACCUCUUUCAGUAGGGAAGAAGCGAAAGUGACGGUACCUGCAGAAGAAGCGCCGGCUAACUACGUGCCAGCAGCCGCGGUAAUACGUAGGGCGCAAGCGUUAUCCGGAAUUAUUGGGCGUAAAGAGCUCGUAGGCGGUUUGUCGCGUCUGCCGUGAAAGUCCGGGGCUCAACUCCGGAUCUGCGGUGGGUACGGGCAGACUAGAGUGAUGUAGGGGAGACUGGAAUUCCUGGUGUAGCGGUGAAAUGCGCAGAUAUCAGGAGGAACACCGAUGGCGAAGGCAGGUCUCUGGGCAUUAACUGACGCUGAGGAGCGAAAGCAUGGGGAGCGAACAGGAUUAGAUACCCUGGUAGUCCAUGCCGUAAACGUUGGGCACUAGGUGUGGGGGACAUUCCACGUUUUCCGCGCCGUAGCUAACGCAUUAAGUGCCCCGCCUGGGGAGUACGGCCGCAAG
rnacentral:rRNA from 1 species